rnacentral:misc_RNA from 1 species
GAACUGCGAUAAGUAAUGUGAAUUGCAGAAUUCAGUGAAUCAUCGAGUCUUUGAACGCACAUUGCGCCCCCUGGCAUUCCGGGGGGCAUGCCUGUCCGAGCGUCAUUGCUGCCCUUCAAGCCCGGCUUGUGUGUUGGGUCGUCGUCCCCUCCGGGGGACGGGCCCGAAAGGCAGCGGCGGCACCGCGUCCGGUCCUCGAGCGUGUGGGGCUUUGUCACCCGCUCGAUAAGGACCGGCCGGGCGCCAGCCGGCGUCUCCAACCUUUUUUUCUCAGGUUGACCUCGGAUCAGGUAGGGAUACCCGCUGAACUUAAGC